CCUACGGGCGGCAGCAGUGGGGAAUAUUGCACAAUGGGGGAAACCCUGAUGCAGCGACGCCGCGUGAGUGAAGAAGUAUUUCGGUAUGUAAAGCUCUAUCAGCAGGGAAGUAAAUGACGGUACCUGAUUAAGAAGCCCCGGCUAACUACGUGCCAGCCGCCGCGGUAAUACGUAGGGGGCAAGCGUUAUCCGGAUUUACUGGGUGUAAAGGGAGCGUAGACGGGGAUGCAAGUCAGAAGUGAAAGCCCGGGGCUCAACUCCGGGACUGCUUUUGAAACUGUGUGACUUGAGUGCAGGAGAGGUAAGCGGAAUUCCUGGUGUAGCGGUGAAAUGCGUAGAUAUCAGGAGGAACACCAGUGGCGAAGGCGGCUUACUGGACUGUAACUGACGUUGAGGCUCGAAAGCGUGGGGAGCAAACAGGAUUAGAUACCCUUGUAGUC
rnacentral:rRNA from 1 species